rnacentral:tRNA from 1 species
GGGGAUAUAGCUCAGUGGUAGAGCACAUGCUUAGCAUGCACGAGGUCCUGGGUUCAAUCCCCAGUACAUCCA